ACACAACAGACUUAAAAUCUGUCGAACAUUAGUUCGUGCGGGUUCAAGUCCCGCCUUCCCUACCA
rnacentral:tRNA from 1 species